AAAACUUGUGAUUUGAUAAAACAUUAAAAUUGUGUAAAUGGCAUUUUUACGAAAGAUGAAGGUGAAAUCAAAAAUUCAGAAAGCCACAACUCAAUAGCAAAAUAUCUAAAGGUUACCAAAUUUGGCAAAUGUUCUUUUAACUCUAUACACUAAGUACAAAGAAUUAUGGAAAUAGGAAUAAAACUGAGUGGUAAUUUUAAGCGACAUAAACUCAUACAGAUGACGAUUGAUAACUGGAGAAAAGAUCAACUACCAUUACAGAUACAUUAUGGGAGAUAAGAUAAAGAGAUGGCAGUUCUCGCUAUAAUAGUUAAAAACUAGAUAGUGUAAUGGUAAUAUGCUGAAAAUUUCAGUCA